UACGGGGGGAGCAAGCGUUGUUCGGAUUUACUGGGCGUAAAGGGCGCGUAGGCGGCCAGCACAAGUCAGUUGUGAAAUCUCCGAGCUUAACUCGGAAAGGUCAACUGAUACUGUGCGGCUAGAGUGCAGAAGGGGCAACUGGAAUUCCAGGUGUAGCGGUGAAAUGCGUAGAUAUCUGGAGGAACACCGGUGGCGAAGGCGGCAUCCUGGACCAACACUGACGCUGAGGAGCGAAAGCCAGGGGAGCAAACGGG
rnacentral:rRNA from 1 species